rnacentral:rRNA from 1 species
UACGUAGGUGGCAAGCGUUGUCCGGAUUUAUUGGGUUUAAAGGGUGCGUAGGUGGCGCCGUAAGUCGGGUGUGAAAUUUCGGAGCUUAACUCCGAAACUGCAUUCGAUACUGCGGUGCUUGAGGACUGGAGAGGAGACUGGAAUUCAUGGUGUAGCAGUGAAAUGCGUAGAGAUCAUGAGGAAGACCAGUGGCGAAGGCGGGUCUCUGGACAGUUCCUGACACUGAGGCACGAAGGCCAGGGGAGCAAACGGG